UCGGUAACUUUUAAGAACAAUUGAUAUUUAUUGAAUCACAUGCCUAGAAAUCCAUUCCCAUAUCAGUACACAAAAACCUGGAUUCAUCUUAAAUGCAUUUGUUUAAAUCAAAACAUCAGUAACUACCACAAACAAACAUCAUAUAUUUCUAACCACACUCGAAAGUUGAGCAGCAUUUGGUUUCAGAUUCACUCUAGGUGCUAGGAUUAAGUCCGUAGAACCUCAAAUGCCUACAGUGCACCAGUUCUUAGAGCAUGGUCUAAAUCAGCAAUCAGAUCAUUCACAUCCUCUAUCCCCACAGAGAUGCGAAUAAGAUCUUCGGUAAGGCCUCUGGCUUCUCGGACUGCUGCUGGUAUACUUGCAUGGGACAUAAAGCAAGGCAUGCUUAUGAGGGACUUGACACUCCCAAAACUGACAGUUAUACUGAAAUACUUGGUAGUCUCAACAAUGUGCUUUGAGAGUUCCAGUGAUCCUGUUAAAAAGCUAAGCACGGAACCUGCACCCUUUGCCUGAGAAUAGUGCAAGUCACGUCCAGGAUGACCAGGAAGACCCGCAUAGUUAACUUUCUUCACUCGCGGAUGUGAAGCAAGAAACUCAGCAAUCUUCUGUGCAUUGUCCUGUUGUUUCUCUACACGCAAGGCCAUGGUCUUAAUACCUCGUAAACAAAUCCAACAGUCAAAUGGUGCUAAUCCAGAGCCUUCUGCAUUUUGUAGGAAAUACAAAUCUCUCGCCAAGCUUUCCCCUUUUACUGCAAGCACACCUGCCAUGACAUCACUAUGCCCAGCCAUAAAUUUAGUAGCAGA
rnacentral:misc_RNA from 1 species